UUGAGCAGGGGGCUCAGCAGGAGGAACAGUACCAAAACAACACCCUACACCCACUCCUGGGCUGCUGCUGAAUUCAUGAAUAUUGCGGAAACAUUUUAACUUGAUGAAAAAGAGAGCGAAAGGAUCAAAUAAAAGCACUGAGUAGGAAAAACAGUCCUCUAAGCCAUUCACAGUGGGAGGAGAAAAAUAUAGAGAAAGAGAAAAGAAGGCCUUUUAGACUAGAGAACGUUUGAGAUUGGAAUGACAUGAUUUCCUUCUGUCAUUAUUAAAAUUCAUUGUUUUUAAAAUAGCACGUUUAUACGGCUGUUUUUUGUUUGUUUUUUAAGCCAGUCAUGUAAAAAAUGGGGGAAGGUAGUCUUUAAAUUACCUAUUCCUGAACAUGAAAUCAAUCUUAUCAAUCCUAUUUAUUGUUCUUUCUGUGGCAGGCGUUAACUGGAUCUAAGAGUGAAGAGUGCCACCAUCAGGACGACUGGCGAAAUGGAAGCAAUUUUUGUGCAGAUGUCACAUGAAGAAGUAAGAUGUUCUUUGGUUUUAGGUUGUUAUUAGCAAAGGUUGUCGUAAUACUUGCAUUUAAAAAAUUAAAUAAAUAAAAAAAUAAAACCCAGCAGCAGGAACUCACAGCAAAGAUGAGCAGUUAGAGAGGAGGAGAGGUUGGGCAGUUUCCACCCUGUCCUGCAGUCGUGAGUGCCCAGAAACUACUGCGUUUUACCUGCUCCUGUAUCACCAUGAGGUGUCUGCCCUUACUUCCUCUGGGGUCCUUUGGCACUCUCUAGCUACUGGCAUGGAUGAGCAGAAGUCACUAUAA
rnacentral:lncRNA from 1 species